AUCUGCAGAGAUAUUAAUCAGAAUACCAAACAAAAGAAGGGUCUGUUUCAUAGGUAAGUAAGAUCAUGCUUUAAAACGCUUCAGAAAUCCAUUACUGUUAUCUCUGUAAAACAAAACUGAGCUGUCUCUGCUUGAUUGAGAAUUUGCCAUUUUAAAACCUUUGCCUUGCCUAGAUCAGAUCAUCGGAUGCCUCCAAACCAAGAACCUAAUCCAGGGGGUUGGGAUUCUGAUGAAUUUGACCAAGAAGGAAGUGACAACGACUAUGAGGAGCCAGAUAAUAAUGAGUGUGAAGACAAUUACAUAUGUGCAGCAUCAUGUGAUAAUGAGGAAGACGUGAAUACUGAUGAUGACUAUGAACCACCUCCUACUGAAACACCUUCUGAAUUACCGUCUCACUUUCGUGUUGCCAAGCCUCUUGGUGAUGGUGAUUAUUUAGACAGCGGCCCACGUGGUUCUGCAAGACCACCCCAGGACAACAGGUCAGGAUCUCUUCCCAGAGGGCUUUUGAAUACCCCUAAGCCUCCAUCACGACCGGAUCCCUCUCCACACAGGCCUUUCAUUCCCUCCAAUCAAUCCAAACCUAGUGUGCCAAAGGUAGAUCGGAGUAAGAAACCUGGCUCAUCUGCACUGCCAAAACAAAAUAUCAGCAAAUCAGAAAUAAAACAAAACACCUUACCAAUGGCUUCAAAAUCAGCAACUUUACCCACACAAAGACAUCACAUUCAACAGAGGGAUGAGUUUCCUCCUCCACCUGUAGAAGUGAAUGUGAUGAUGGGGCAGGACAUGGAUCGACGGUGGUAUGUGGGGCAAAUGUCACGAGCACAGGCCGAAGUCUCACUAAGACAAAUGAAUGCAGUGAGUUCCACCACUAAAGCCAUAGAAUGUUUUAGAAUGAUCUAAAAUACACCCCUGCCUUCAAAUAAUUCUUAUAAAUUGUGAAUAAAAUAAGCUUUUAU
ensembl:lncRNA